GGCAAACGUUCCAUGCCCUCAAGCUGAUGACUCUCAAGUGAACUGUACAGUAACCGAGAAGCUUGAUCCUGGAGUAGAAGAGAUGUUAUGGAGCCAAAAUCAAGCAUAGUUUUCCCUGAGUUGAGUGCAGAACCAGCAGAGUAUUUGUCAAUGUGUCCAUUACCACAGGAGGACAGAGUCCCAGAAAAAGUCCCACUUCUAAGCCCUUGAAGGCGGCUUUGAACAACUGCUGUGGUACAUACCACAUGCUCAACAGUAAUACAGGUUGACAGAUCCACCUGUCUGCUCCCCAGCGGUCCUGCUCAGCUUUUGGACAUGAGCGCUGAAGAUCCAAACUCAGGACCACUCACUCACACAUCGGUCUCACCACCCACAAUGGGCUUCAUCCCGACCCUUCAAUCAUGAAUCUCAAGAAAAUGCUCCAUAGACAUGCCCACAGGUCGAUCUGAUGAAGGCAAUUCCACAAUAGAGGUUUCUCUUUCCAGAUGCAUAUAAACUUAGGUGUUCUCUGACUUUGCAGUCUGGAAACCCCAUUGCAGCACCUCCUGAUUCCUGCACAGGUGAAGCAGCACUGGCCAGCGUCUUAGGAGACUCCACACACAGCGUCUCCCCUCUGCGGAAAUGUGCCCUUUCUCUUUAGACGCUCAUCUCAUGCAUUUUAGAAUGGAAAACUGUUCUCAUACUGUCUGUAAAGGUGUGGUCCUUCUUUCAGUCAAGAGCACAAAUCAGUAAACCCUUUCAAGUCACACACUGAUUCUUACAGUUCUCAGAGCUGAGUAUUUUAGUACUUUAGUAUUUAACUACACACAUCUGCUCUAAUUCUUCCCUUUGUAAUUCUCGGCACUCACAAGUUGGAUUUCAA
rnacentral:lncRNA from 1 species